rnacentral:rRNA from 1 species
GGGUGUGCAGUGGGUACGGGGCAGACUAGAGUGCAGUAGGGGAGACUGGAAUUCCUGGUGUAGCGGUGGAAUGCGCAGAUAUCAGGAGGAACACCGAUGGCGAAGGCAGGUCUCUGGGCUGUUACUGACGCUGAGGAGCGAAAGCAUGGGGAGCGAACAGGAUUAGAUACCCUGGUAGUCCAUGCCGUAAACGUUGGGCACUAGGUGUGGGGGACAUUCCACGUUUUCCGCGCCGUAGCUAACGCAUUAAGUGCCCCGCCUGGGGAGUACGGCCGCAAGGCUAAAACUCAAAGGAAUUGACGGGGGCCCGCACAAGCGGCGGAGCAUGCGGAUUAAUUCGAUGCAACGCGAAGAACCUUACCAAGGCUUGACAUAUACCGGAUCGUUCCAGAGAUGGUUCUUCCCCUUUGGGGUCGGUAUACAGGUGGUGCAUGGUUGUCGUCAGCUCGUGUCGUGAGAUGUUGGGUUAAGUCCCGCAACGAGCGCAACCCUCGUUCCAUGUUGCCAGCACGUGAUGGUGGGGACUCAUGGGAGACUGCCGGGGUCAACUCGGAGGAAGGUGGGGAUGACGUCAAAUCAUCAUGCCCCUUAUGUCUUGGGCUUCACGCAUGCUACAAUGGCCGGUACAAAGGGUUGCGAUACUGUGAGGUGGAGCUAAUCCCAAAAAGCCGGUCUCAGUUCGGAUUGAGGUCUGCAACUC